GCUAUGAUAGAUUCCACCAGGAAAAUUGUGACUGAGGGGGCUCGGGGAGCAUAUAGCAUGGAGUUGCUCCUCACCGUUCAGUCGCGGAGCACCAGAACUGUUUGAAACAGGCAUUCAAUCAUGGAAUCCACUCUCACUGCCCGGCAGAUCAUGGGCCUGAUCUGGGUGGUGGCCAUGCUCCAGGUGUCUGGUGCAAUUGAUUCUAAGUUAUCAACAUGCUGCCCUAAAACCAGCCAAGCUCCUUUUAAAGUGCCAGUCAAGGGAUGCAGGAUUCAUCCGAAAUCAGAGUUCUGCGCUCAUGCAGUUCAAUUUUUCGGUGAAGACGGAAACAUAUACUGCAGCCGCCCUGGAUUAAGAUGGGUUGCUGCUAAGAUUGCUAUCUUGGCAAAGGUUAGUAGAAUAAACCAUCUAAAUUUUUUCAGGCUUUACUGGCAAUGCCAUGAAUGUACAACACAGAUUAUUAUCAUUUUUAUUAUUAUUUUAGCUUGCAUUAUCAUGGAAAUCUAAAUUUUUUUUAAACUUAGCAUAAUGGAUGUUUAUAUGUUCCCCUGCAGAAUGGCACACAAUGCUCGGAUCAUACAAAGUCAGCGUAAUAAGAAGUGGAUAGAAUGUGUGAUUUUUUUUAUUUCCUUAUGCCAUUUUAUGCUUAGAAUUUUUGUCAUUGUUUCCAGAAAAUGACACUUGAAACUGCAUGUACAUGCAUUGUUUUUAGUAUGAUCAUUAAGUUUAUAAUUAUUGUGAGGAAAAAUUAUCUUAAAUGAGAGAUGACUAGAUUGGCAUAAUUACUGUUUACAAUAUUACGAUUAUGAGUAAUGUUUUAUACUGAAACAAGACAAAAGUUUGAAUAACAUUUACAAAUACUGAUGUAUUUGUUAAUCUACAGAAAGGAAAUCCAUGCAAAGAAAUCAUCACAAUAACGAAUAGAAAAGAAUGCCAAGCUAGAUAAAAAGUCCCCUUCAUUCUUGAUGUGCUGUAAAGAAUGAUUUUCAUCAGAUAAAGUAGAUUUACAGAUUUGCAUUGUGUUAAUAUAUUUGUUUGAGUUUGAUCAGAUUUACCGUUCUUAAUUUGUAUCUACUUUAUUUUAUAGUGUUUUGGAUUGACUAAUUGUUUGCAAAGUUUUUUAUUGUAUUUAUAUUGUAAUUUAUAAUAAAGUUUGGAC
rnacentral:lncRNA from 1 species